rnacentral:lncRNA from 1 species
UACCCUCCAUAAAGGAUUUUAUGUAUAUAAUGCUGAGUGUAGGAGAUCGUUAUAUUCCACAUAAAAUGAGAGAAUUCAGAGCUCGGAAGUGAUUUCAUGGGGAGGAAACAAAGACCACAUGAGGGAGUAAAAAACAACAGUGAGGAAACCUGAUAAAUGUGGGAGGAGAAGACUUCAUUGAAACCAGUGAAGGGACUGAGUUUUGCAUCCACAUUGUCAAGGAGGAGAGGAGGCUAAAUCAAAAUACGUCUGGAAAUUUCAUUGGCUCUACCUUCAAAAUGUAUUCAGAAUUCAGAAAGUUCUUCAGGCAAAAGGAAUAUGAAACCAACCGUAAACUUGGAUCUACAUCAAGAAAUGAAGAGCGCUGGAAAUGGGAUAAAUGAAACCCAACAAUCUCUAAAGAACAAGUUAAAACUUUGAAUUACGAGUCCUCAACUGAAAAUUCAGGAACGGAGAACACCGUAUACACAGGCCAAGGAUCAUAAACCGAAAACCAACAAACAAAAGUGACUAAGAGAAUGACUAGUUUGCAUGACUAAUGGGAACAACUUAAGAGGAGCUAAAUAUAAACCAUCUGACUAUACAGACUGACUAAACCAGGGGGUAAACAGACCCAACACUCUACCUCCCAGAGGAGAGAACUGGAUUCCAGUCACUGCCACUAACUAGACAUAAUACAGGAAAUGGCAUUUAAAAGAAGGAACCAAUACUAGCAGUGCAUAACAAUUCAAAUUCCUGGUUCCCUUUCUCCGGUCCUGACGUAAGGAAAUCAUGCAGAAGAAGUCCGCUGGCCUAGGACAAUCCAGAACACGGCUAAUUGCUCCUGCAUACAGCGGUCUUUGAAAUAUAUGAAGGUAACUAUGUAUUGACAUGCUUCAACAUCCCUGACUCUUAAAAAUAAUCCUGUGUCACAGAGAUUACUGAUUGUCCAAUUAUGGUUUGUCGUAUAAUAAAAAAUCAUGACAAUACCAUCCCUUUCCUCACUGGAGAAUAUGAUUUCAACCACGUGCUUUUCUGGAUGGAAGUAGUUUAUAAGAAAACAAUUAAUGGGAAAGAUAUUCCUGCAAGCAAGGACUGGGCUUGUAUACAUUUACUUUUUUUAAAUUUAGAAUAAAUGCAAAUGUGCGUGAAA